GGAUGAAGUUUUUUACUCCAAAGAGAGAGAAAACAUGAUUCUGCGUUAUCGUUCGCGAAUGUCUUGCUCCGUUAAACCUCUCUCACGAUUAUGCAUCUCGAUCACGAUCCCCUUCUAACCAUCUAGGUUAGUUCAGAUUUAUUAGCAGGAGCUGUCAGAGAUGGUCGACCAGAUUUCGAGCUUCAAUUCGUUGUAAGAUUUUGAUUAUGUUGACAAAAUAUCACAACUUUUUCCAGCAAUUUUUAGAGCUGAAGAGAAAUUCCAAGCAAAGAGAAGAUAACGGACUGUAAAAAUAUCGAGACAGAGGGACAUAACUUGAAGAUGAUGAAAAUUCUGAUUAUGAACUGAAUUAGGUCAUUCUUUUAAGUUGUUACUUCUCCUGGUGCCGUUGAUCUUAGGCCAGAAAAUGCAAUGAAGAUAUCGAUUGAGAUCAACAAGUAUUUGGAGGUAUGCCUGUGCUUGAGUCACUGAAUUAAUGGGGAAAUUGUAUCAGAUUUGUGGUAUUCCAGUCAUAAGCGUUAAGGAGAUGCUGAAUCAUACAAGCAUUUUGUGUUAAUCGAAGUGCGUGUUCUCUCAGUACCCGACAGCCCACAGUUCAAGUUGGAGCAUGUGCUUUCAAUACCCGCAUAUGUGGCAUUUGCUAAUCUGUGUAGUGAUAGACAACAACAAAUUUCUUACAGAGAAAAGGCAGUCAGUGUGGAAGCUAGAACGAAAUCAUCAAUUCAUGUAGGCACGGACAUGAUUAAACAAAGGGUUUCUUCGGUAACUGAGAGUUAAGUAAUUUUAGCUGUUUGACUGACAUCUCUCUCGGGUUUGGAGGUUAUAUAUAUAUAUAUUGUGAUGACUACUAAAUUAGGGAACACUGAAAUUUUAUGAAGGGGUAACUUACUCUUGCUGGAUUUUUUAUUAAGCUGGGGCGUUUUUGGUUUUAUGCAUUUUUUUUUGGAGGAUAGUCAAUUUUAAUAACUUCAUUGAUUAAUUUUUAAGUUCUGGAUAUUUCAAUUCAAUAUAUAAUAUUAUGUUAUGAUUAGUUGUUUAUCUUUGAAUAAUUGUGUAACAUGCUCAACAAUAUUCUUUCAUCAUUCAAUGAUUUUAGCUAGAAAGAUUCAUAGGAUACAAAUUUGUUUGCACAAACAACGGUUGUAUUCUAAAUAUCGGAUAUUGAAAAUUUUGAGAGACAGAUGGCUGGAGACUCUCUUCCGGAGCAUCUCUAAAGCAGCUAUUUUUCUUUUGUGACUAAGUUAGGAACUCUUUUUGUUCAAGCGAGACUAUUUGUUAUUCACAUUUUGUUUGUGGGGAUUCGAAUAUAUUAGAGGUUUCACUUCAGGUAAGUUUAUAAAAUGGUGAUUCAUAUGUAGGGUUAGCUCAAUAAGUUGUCGUUGAUGAAAGCAGGCCCUUGAUAAGUUUUGUUGUUCAGAUAGGGACUAUACAAUUGUGCAUUCGAGGCAUGGUGACUGACCCAAGUUGUUGGGUCAUGUGCAUUUGAGGCAUGGUGACUUAUCAGUGCAUGUGUACCCUAUAGAGGCCCUGAUGCAAAGCCAUCUUGAAAGAAGAAGACUUGAAGGUGACCAAGUUUAAUGCAGCGGAGGACAACAACAACAUAGUCAAAGUACAUGACAUCGGGAGCAACAGUCCCAUGCAGUUUCUGCAGAAGUUAAUUAUCCAAUUUUACAUACCUCAUCUCCACAAUUCAACGUAUAGUUCGGGUAUUUUCCUAUAUGUGUUCAUAUUUGUGUGAUUUAUAUCUAUGUGUAAUGCAAUAUAGAUUAUUGUUCUACUUGCCAGGUUGCAUGGUUUAAUACAUAAUUAUAUGUUUAGUAUCUAACGAAUUUGGGUUGAUUAUAAAUCUAUUUUGUUGAAAAACGAAUCAUAAAGAUAAAAGUACUUAUUAGACAGUUUUCAUAUGAAUGAGAUAUUUUUUCUCUUUGUACUAUAUCAACAAGUUUCCCAGCAAUCAGGUCGUCAAAACGAAGCUCGGUGUGAGAGAUGCACCCGUCAAACAAGCUAACCAUCCCAAACGGAUUGGCACAUGCAAUUCAAGCCACUUGCGCAAGAAUAUUAUCUCAGACAGUCCGAUUAAUGUACAGUGGAAUUCAAGCAUUUUGAGCGACAAUGACGAUAUGAUUGUAGACGCUUUAAUGGAGCCUGUGCAUUCAACUGUUAAACCGUUGGAUUCAACUUAUAUGCAAACGUAACUGCAUUUCUACACAAAUUUUCGGCUUUAUAGUUUCUUAUAUAUCAUUGUUUAUGCGUGUGUCUGCUGACAUGUUUAGGUCAGUUGCUA